UCCCUCUCUGCAGAAUGAAGACCAGAUGACAAAGAGGCGCCCCUGCCCUGGCCCUUCCUCCUGGGAAAUCUUUCCCACACCUGCCCCCCACUCAGGAAGGAGCGGAAAGACAGGAGCAAGAGAUCAGAGAGGGCUCUCUUGGAAGACGGAAAAGGCAGGCUUGGGGUUUUCUCCACCCAACCGAAACGAGAUCAUGAAGUCAGUGCUGACUUUCUUGGAGCCUCUCUGAGCCUCGUUUGUAGGUAGGGACAGUGGCCUUGCAAGGGGGCCACAAGGAUCGAGGGUCUAAUGCACCUCAGAGCACCCACCCGACCCUGAGUUAUGAGAAUGAACUGCUGAGAUUGGGGUGCAACGCAACCGAAAUAGCCUCCCAACAAGGGCCACCGGAAAAGCCAUGUGCCUCUGGGCUGCUUGCUGGACUCUCCGAUCCUUACCUCUUCACCUGCAAAUUGGCCUGGGACAGCUGGGGGAGCCCCCGGGUGUUCCAGAGUCAAUGGGUACCAGGAUCCCACCAGAGAGUAGCUCUGUCCCCUGUCAGCUCAGGCUGUGGGCUAAGAAUAGCAGGGCAACCAGCCUCCUUGGGAAAGUUUAUUUCUGUGGAAAGUCUAGUUCAGUCGAGUGGAGAAUCUGGCCUUGAUUUCCCCCCCACGCCCCCCACACCCCGCUCAGAAACCAGACAGACGUGUGCCCGGAUGAAGGAGGAACUGAUGCACGGCGUGGGAGAAGUGGCCACCCGUCUCGGCAGCGACCUUUCUCUUUCCACUGGGGAGAAAAGGCCACCACGUGGGAGACGAGAAGGCAGAGGGUCUGGCCACCAAGGGCUGCAGGAGUGUCCUCACAGAAGACAGGAAUGGAAGGACAAACAUCAGAUGCAGGGAUGGAGCGAAGCUGCGGAAGCAGCUCCAGGAACCUCCGGAAGUUGAAAGAGGCAAAGACUACUUCUCCUCCAGAGAUUUUUGCAGUAAUUUCUUAGAGCAGCCUCAGGAAACCAAUACGCCUUGCAAAAGCCAUGAUGCCAUUUUGCAGAUGGGGCAGCUGAGGCACAAGGAAGAAAAGCCCUCUGUCUAAAAAAAAAUUAAGACGUGUUAUGUACAUGCCACCAACUCCCCAUGAUAAAAACAAGUGUUACGUGCUGCAAACAUGCACAUACUGAUACAAAAUAAAAGCGGGCAGUUGGGAGUGAAGGCAGGAUUCCAACUCGGGUCUGUCUGAACCUCGUAUGGCCAAGGCCACCCUUCGAGAAGGGGCAUUUCUGUAGGAGAGAAGUUCCAGCAAAGAGCCAGGGAGGCUGAGGUGAGAUCUGCUGCCAGCAUGCUCUCCUAGGCUGUGUGUCCAUGGGGGUCCCACCAGCACCCCACCCAGCCCCAGCUCCAUCCACCCCCAAGCCUCCUCUCUCCAGAGCUGAGAAGUGCCAUGGGAACUCAAGGGACAAGGGACAAAGCAGCUCUGCUCACAGCUGGACCAGAACCAUCUUCCUCUACGGAAGCUGCCUGACCUCAGGGUGGGCAAAGAGGUACUGACCCUGCCCUGCGGCCCAUGGCUGAGUGUUUACCUAGAAGUGGGGGCAGGCAGGCACCCAGGCAAUAGCAUUUAAGGAGGUUCUGGCUCUCAAGGUCCUGCAAAUGCCAACUUUGGGCUUGUGUGGAUAUGCAAAUGAGUGCUUCCUUAAAAGCUUCCUGCCCUAUUCCUGCCCUUACCUAGGGUUGAUUUAUAGAGGACCAAAAGACCUGGGGGUGGGGCAUUGGCAGCUGUUGGUCUUCAGAGUCUCACAGACAGGGGUUCAAAUCCUGAUUUUAGCCACUUAGUACCUGAGUGACCGUGGAUGGGUCUGUUCCUAUGCAUGGACUCAAUUUUCUCAUCUAUACAGCAGGGAUUAUAGAAUAAAAUCCACUUUCUCAGUAGUUAUGGAUGAGAAGAGUCGCAUGUAAAGUGCCUGGCACUCAGUAACUUAGCACUUAUUACCUUUUUUUUUUUUUUAAGCUCAGAAAGAGGAAAUCAGGGGGUGGCAGAGAAUAAUGGCCGCAUGGGAAUCAAUGGGUGGUUCCCUGGAGCUCAGCAGGAUUGGUAAUUUCUCCUUGAAGCAAAGCCAGGAUGAGGCUGGGAGGGCAGAGCCCGGGGAUGCCACACCUCUGGGGUGGCCGGGAGCUCUGCCCCUCAUCUGCACACCACCCAGAUGGCUCCUGGUGGAGGAGCACUGCAAGGAGAGUCCACUCACUGAGGCACCUCCAUCCAAGCCAGAGACGGUGAGAAACCGGGUCUUGGUGAGAAGGACAGGGUGGGUGGAGCAGCCAAAUUCAUUUCUUCUCCCAGUCUACACAGCCCUCAGCCCCCCACUGCUGUGAGGUCGCAUUUUUCCAAACCUAGUAUGCCAGGCCUGUGCCCACUGCCAGGUGAAAAAGGCACACAGUUUCUCAUACCAGUUUUCCUGUCUGCAUUUAUGUAUGUAUGUGUGUUUUGGAAACAGGAUCUCCUUAUGUGGUUGAGGCUGGCUUCAAACUCUGAGAUCCUCCUGCCUCAGCCUCCCCAGUACUGGGAUCAUUGGCAUGCACCACCAUGCUUGGCAUCUACUUUUAUUUUAUAAGUCCAUUGAUUUGUCUUCCCAGCCCUUGUUCCCACUUUAGAGAGAAGGGCUCUCACUUAAUGUCCCUAUUUCUGUAUCUAUUCUUUAUUUAUUUAGAGAAUCAGGCUUUCUGAAUCCCCUAAUAGUCUAGCUUAAAAGGCAGCCCUCGCCUGGUUCCUUGUGCUUGGCUUGAACCCAGCACCUUCAUCUGCGCUUCUGCCAGGCUCCUGAUGCCAAGUUGACACUUCUCCAUUGGUGCAAUUAGCACCUCGCUAAUGAGAGCUACUACCGUUUAUUGAGCUGUUACUAUGUGCUAGGCGCUGCGCUAAAAGCUUUUCCCACAUCCUCCCAUUUCCACCUGGCAAGACCAGAGCGGGGAGGAUGCACGGAGGCCUGAAGAGAGCAAGCUGUCUGGCUCCUCGCCACAGACUUGAGCCAUCCCCAUAGGCCACACUGCACUGGGGUCACCCCCUGGGUCACCAUGUCCCCCAGGGGAUGCUACUUGGGAGAGCAGGGAGGCACAGCUGUGAUUUUAAAAAGUAAAUUAUGUAAACUUACAUUAAUUUAAUUAUAUUUUACAAUGAAGGUAAUAAUACUUAAAAUUCUUCAAUUAAUUUAGUUCAUUUUUCUGUCAACUGUGCCCUGGGGACUAUUUAUGCCUGUUAGAUCUGGAUGGAGGAGAUGCAGUUCCCCCUGAUUCUGCCUCCGCUAGCCCGAGCCUGCCCUGGUGGAAGGAUUCACACCAUGGAGAGGGCCAAGUCCAUGGUCAGGGUUCUCCUCCAAGAAGCCCAUGAUUAAACAUUUACUAGUGCACCUUGGAGCAUAGCUUCUACUGUAGAUUUUAGAAUCUCCCCACAUCCUCAUCCCCAUAAUCUUUUUUUUUUUCAAUACUGGAGAUUCUACCCAGAGCCUUCAUUGAGCUACAUCCCAAGCCCAUUUUUUUUUUUUUUUUUUUUUUUUUUUUUUGAGACAGGGUCUCUCUAAGUCACUGAGUUGCCCAGGC
rnacentral:lncRNA from 1 species